AGUGAACGCUGGCGGUAGGCCUAACGCAUGCAAGUCGAACGGCAGCACAGUAAGAGCUUGCUCUUACGGGUGGCGAGUGGCGGACGGGUGAGGAAUACAUCGGAAUCUACUUUUUCGUGGGGGAUAACGUAGGGAAACUUACGCUAAUACCGCAUACGACCUACGGGUGAAAGCAGGGGAUCUUCGGACCUUGCGCGAUUGAAUGAGCCGAUGUCGGAUUAGCUAGUUGGCGGGGUAAAGGCCCACCAAGGCGACGAUCCGUAGCUGGUCUGAGAGGAUGAUACGCCACACUGGAACUGAGACACCGUCCAGACCCCUACGGGAGGCAGCAGUGGGGAAUAUUGGACAAUGGGCGCAAGCCUGAUCCAGCCAUACCGCGUGGGUGAAGAAGGCCUUCGGGUUGUAAAGCCCUUUUGUUGGGAAAGAAAAGCAGCAGGUUAAUACCCCGCUGUUCUGACGGUACCCAAAGAAUAAGCACCGGCUAACUUCGUG
rnacentral:rRNA from 1 species